GGAUGUGAGGGUGAUCUGGCUGCACCAUCUGUCGCUCCACGGAUCGUCAGGGUUGAUUUGGCUGAUCUGGCCGGCUAGCGGGGGUGCCCCCUUCCUCCCUCACCACUCCACGUGUGUCCCUCCUGAAGCUGCAUGCUCCGUCGAAGAGGAUGACCUUCCCCAGCAGAGGAGGACCAUUCUUUGGUCAAGGGUAUACAAGUAGCUGCGCUCCCCUGCUAGAACCUCCAAACAAGCUCUCAAAAAUCAGUUGUGUUUUUAUACACUAACAACAAACUGUCCACAAAUAAAAUUAAGAAAAUAAUCACAUUU
rnacentral:snRNA from 1 species